UGAUAAGAGACAGCAGUAGCCGCGGGAACACGAAGGGGGCUAGCGUUGUUCGGAAUUACUGGGCGUAAAGCGCACGUAGGCGGAUAUUUAAGUCAGGGGUGAAAUCCCGCAGCUCAACUGCGGAACUGCCUUUGAUACUGGGUAUCUUGAGUAUGGAAGAGGUUAGUGGAAUUGCGAGUGUAGAGGUGAAACUCGUAGAUAUUCGCAGGAACACCAGUGGCGAAGGCGGCUAACUGGUCCAUAACUGACGCUGAGGUGCGAAAGCGUGGGGAGCAAACAGGAUUAGAUACCCGUGUAGUCCCUGUCUCUUAUAC
rnacentral:rRNA from 1 species